GAUGAACGCUGGCGGCGUGCCUAAUACAUGCAAGUAGAACGCUGAAGGAAGGAGCUUGCUCUUUCCGGAUGAGUUGCGAACGGGUGAGUAACGCGUAGGUAACCUGCCUGGUAGCGGGGGAUAACUAUUGGAAACGAUAGCUAAUACCGCAUAACAGUAGAUAUUGCAUGAUAUCUGCUUGAAAGGGGCAAUUGCUCCACUACCAGAUGGACCUGCGUUGUAUUAGCUAGUUGGUGAGGUAACGGCUCACCAAGGCGACGAUACAUAGCCGACCUGAGAGGGUGAUCGGCCACACUGGGACUGAGACACGGCCCAGACUCCUACGGGAGGCAGCAGUAGGGAAUCUUCGGCAAUGGACGGAAGUCUGACCGAGCAACGCCGCGUGAGUGAAGAAGGUUUUCGGAUCGUAAAGCUCUGUUGUAAGAGAAGAACGAGUGUGAGAGUGGAAAGUUCACACUGUGACGGUAUCUUACCAGAAAGGGACGGCUAACUACGUGCCAGCAGCCGCGGUAAUACGUAGGUCCCGAGCGUUAUCCGGAUUUAUUGGGCGUAAAGCGAGCGCAGGCGGUUAGAUAAGUCUGAAGUUAAAGGCUGUGGCUUAACCAUAGUACGCUUUGGAAACUGUUUAACUUGAGUGCAAGAGGGGAGAGUGGAAUUCCAUGUGUAGCGGUGAAAUGCGUAGAUAUAUGGAGGAACACCGGUGGCGAAAGCGGCUCUCUGGCUUGUAACUGACGCUGAGGCUCGAAAGCGUGGGGAGCAAACAGG
rnacentral:rRNA from 1 species